rnacentral:rRNA from 1 species
UACGUAGGUCCCGAGCGUUGUCCGGAUUUAUUGGGCGUAAAGGGAACGCAGGCGGUCUUUUAAGUCUGAUGUGAAAGCCUGCGGCUUAACCGGAGUAGUGCAUUGGAAACUGGGAGACUUGAGUGCAGAAGAGGAGAGUGGAACUCCAUGUGUAGCGGUGAAAUGCGUAGAUAUAUGGAAGAACACCAGUGGCGAAAGCGGCUCUCUGGUCUGUAACUGACGCUGAGGUUCGAAAGCGUGGGUAGCAAACAGG